rnacentral:rRNA from 1 species
AUACGGAGGGUGCAAGCGUUAAUCGGAAUUACUGGGCGUAAAGCGUGCGUAGGUGGUUUGUUAAGUCAGAUGUGAAAGCCCCGGGCUCCACCUGGGAACUGCAUUUGAAACUGGCAUACUAGAGUAUAGGAGAGGAAAGUGGAAUUUCAGGUGUAGCGGUGAAAUGCGUAGAUAUCUGAAGGAACAUCAAUGGCGAAGGCAGCUUUCUGGACUAAUACUGACACUGAGGUACGAAAGCGUGGGUAGCAAACAGGAUUAGAAACCCUAGUAGUCC